AUCCCAGAACUUUGGGAGGCUGAGGUAGGUGGAUCACAAGGCCAGGAGAUUGAGACCAUCCUGGCCAACAUGGUGAAACCCCGUCUCUACUAAAUUUGAGUCAAGGCCCAGUGAUAUAACAAAGUGCCCAUGCGGGCAAUGCCCAGGCAGGAGAAUAAUGUCACAUCGCAUAGGUUCUGGGUUAAGUGAUAUGUCGCCAUUCCACCUGUUGGCCGUGCCCAGGUAGGAAAGUCAAAUCGCUCAGGUACUGGGCAAAGAAAUAUUUUACAAUCACACCUGCAUAAACGUCCCGGGAGAAAAUUAACAAUUUUGCACACGUCCCGGUUCUAGGUAUUAGAGUCAGCACCUCCUGUAUGUUGGGUGUAAGUACAUGAGACGUGAGUCACAGUCUCAACAGGGGCCUGGAUCUGUGCUUGGAGCCACGAUCCCUCAAGUCCACCGCAUAUUCUUCACAGAGUCACAGCCUCACAGGCAUGCUGAAUCUUGGUCGGAGAGUCACCAGCCCACCUGUGGACCAGAUCCACGUACGGGAGUCAAUUUUCCAACCUUUGACUGCCCCCAGGGACCACUGACAUUUAGGGAUGUGGCCAUAGAGUUCUCUCUAGAGGAGUGGCAAUGCCUGGACACUGCACAACGGAAUUUAUAUAGGAAAGUGAUGUUUGAGAACUACAGAAAUCUGGUCUUCCUGGGUAUUGCUGUCUCUAAGCCUCACCUGAUAACCUGUUUGGAGCAAGGACAAGAGCCCUGGAAUAGGAAAAGACAGGAGAUGGUAGCCAAGCCCCCAGUUAUGUGUUCUCAUGUUGCUGAAGAUCUUUGGCCAGAGCAUAGAAUAAAAGAUUCUUUCCAAAAAAUGAUACUGAGAGGAUACGGAAAAUGUGGACAUGAGAAUUUACAAUUAAGAAUAAGCUGUAAAAGUGUGGAUGAGUAUAAGGUGUACAAAGGAGGUUAUAAUGAACUUAACCGAUGUUUGACAACUACCCAGAGCAAAAUAUUUCAAUGUGAUAAAUACGUGAAAGUCUUUCAUAAAUUUUCAAAUUCAAAUAGUCAUAAGAUAAAUACUGGAAAGAAAUUUUUCAAAUGUAAAGAAUGUGGCAAAUCAUUUUAUAUGCUUUCACACCUAACACAACAUAUAAGAAUUCACACUAGAGAGAAUUCCUACAAAUGUGAGGAAUGUGGCAAAGUUCUUAACUGGUUCUCAGAGCUUAUUAAACAUAAGAGAAUUCAUAUGGGAGAGAAACCCUACCAAUGUGAAGAAUGUGGCAAAGCCUUUAACCAAUCCUCAACCCUUAUUAAACAUAAGAAAAUUCAUAUUGAAGAGAAACCCUACAAAUGUGAAGAAUGUGGCAAAGGCUUUAGUUUAUUCUCAAUCCUUAGUAAACAUAAGAUAAUUCAUACUGGAGACAAACCUUACAAAUGUAAUGAAUGUCACAAAGCCUUUAACUGGUUUGCCACCCUUACUAACCAUAAGAGAAUUCAUACUGGAGAGAAACCCUUCAAAUGUGAAGAAUGUGGCAAAGAGUUUAACCAGUUUUCAAACCUUACUAAACAUAAGAAAAUUCAUACUGGAGAGAAACCCUACAAAUGUGAAGAAUGUGGGAAAGCUUUUAACCAGUUUGCAAACCUUACUAGACAUAAGAAAAUUCAUACUGGAGAGAAAUCCUACAAAUGUAAAGAAUGUGGCAAAGCUUUUAUACAAUCCUCAAACCUUACUGAACAUAUGAGAAUUCAUACUGGAGAGAAACCCUACAAAUGUGAAGAAUGUGGCAAAGCUUUUAAUGGGUGCUCCAGCCUUACUCGACAUAAAAGAAUUCAUACUAGAGAGAAUACCUAUAAAUGUGAAGAAUGUGGCAAAGGCUUUACUUUAUUUUCAACCCUUACUAACCAUAAGUUAAUUCAUACAGGAGAGAAAUCCUACAAAUGUGAUGAAUGUGGCAAUGUUUUUAACUGGCCCGCAACUCUUGCUAAUCAUAAGAGAAUUCAUGCCAGAGAGAAACCCUACAAAUGUGAAGAAUGUGGCAAAGCUUUUAACCGGUCCUCACACCUUACUAGACAUAAGAAAAUUCAUACUGGUGAGAAACUCUACAAACCUGAAAGAUGUGACAAUGAUUUUGACAAUACCUAAAACUUUUCUAAACAUAAAAGAAACCAUCCUGUUGAGAAACCCUAAAUAUGCGAAGAAUUUGAGAAAGCCUUCCAAUGAUUGUUACACUUGAUUGUAGACUCCACACAGCAAAAGCAAGAGUAAGCAAAAAGAAGAAAUCUAGAGGCGUCACAUUACCUGACUUCAAACUAUACUAUAAAGCUAUAGUCACCAAGCACCAAGGUGCUGGUAUACAAAUAGUCACAUAGACUAUAAACAUGUGUGUAACACCUUUUCCACUUAACCAGAAUGUUUUCAACUUGGCCUUUCCCUGUACUCUCUGCUUGUCCAGAGACUGAAGGUAAAAUAGACGUCAGAAAGUAGCGUCUUGCUCUGUUUUUUUCUGAGCCAGCACCUGGCCCUAAUCCUGUACCUUGCCUGCUAGAUCCUCUUAACUAUAUGGACACUUUUUAAUGAUCUUAUUCCCAAAGAAUUGCACUCUCCGUUCUUUCCUGUUAGGAAUUUCAGUGUGACUUCUUUUUGUUUCAAAGAAAUGCCUUUGCCCCAGGUUAUUGAUUUGAAAUCCUUUUUCGUGAAGAAAUUGACUGCCAUUAAUUGCUGCAUCUUGCAUGUUUUGUUAUGUUAAGUAAACAUUUUUAUUCAUUUGAAAUGUUUCCAAUUUUAAAGUUUUUGACACUUUGGCCAUUAGGAAUUUCAUUGCUUAGUUUUUGCAUACCUGUGGCUUAUCCAAAUUUCCCGAUGUCAUUUAUUUUUAAUUUUAUUCCAUUGCAGUCAGAGAAAAUACUUUUCAUUUACACAAUUCUUUUAAUUGUAUUGUGUGUGUAAUCACCUAGAAUAUAGUUUAUUCUGAAGAAGAGUGCAGGGGCACUUACUACAAAUGUGUAGUCUAUGUCUGUUAGGUGGAACAGACGAUACAAAUGUGCUAGGUCUCAGUGGUUUUGUUUUCAAGUCUGUUUACUCUUUGACCUGUCGGCUGUUUUUCAAAUUAUUACUGAGAGUGAAGUAUUUAAAUCCCUGUUAUUUUUUAUUCUCUCUUUCUGGAUUUAUUUUUGUCAGACUUUGCCUCAUAUAUUUUGUUUUCUUGCCUGUUGGUUGAUGAUUGUUACAUCUUCCUAAGGAAUUGACUUUUUUUGGUCAAUUUUAAAUGUCUCAUUUUACACCUAGGCAUGUGUUUAUUUCUUUUUAUUUGUUUAUUUUACUUAUAUUUUAAAUUGAGAUGGAGUUUCACUACCAGGUUCAAGUGACUCUUCUGCCUCAGCCUCCCAAAUAGCUGGGAUUACAGGCAUGCACUAUCAGGCCAGGCUAAUUUUGUAUUUUUGAUAGAAACGGGGUUUCUUCCUGUUGGUCAGGCUGGUCUCUAACUCCUGAACUUAGGGUAUCCAUCCACCUUGGCCUCCCAAAGUGCUGGGAUUACAGGCAAGAGCCACCACGCCUAAAUUCUUUUUUAAUUGUGGAAUUGCAACUACAAUUUCAUUAUGGCUGCUCUUUGCAAGCUUUUAUUCUUUCACUUCUACACAAUUUGUUUAUUUGGAUCCAAAGCAAUUGUGCUGUAGACAGCAUAUAUUUGUAUCUCAUUUUUAUAUUUUGUAUUUUGUCUAACAAUCUCAAUUUUUAUUUAAUUCAACUUUUUAUAUUUAGUAUUAUUUAUAUAUUUGGAUUUAUUUUUUGUAUCAUUUUUGUUUUCUACAUAUCACAUGUGUAUUUUAUUUCUUUUUCUACUUCAUUUUGCAUGAAGAAGGCAUUUUUAUGUAACAUUGCAUUUUUAAAAAUAAUUUUUAAUAUAUAUUUGGAUCUAUCACUUGUUCUUUUAGGGCUUCUGAUAUAC